UACGUAGGGACCAAGCGUUGUUUCGGAUUUACUGGGGACGGUAAAGGGCGCGUAGGCGGCGUGUUAAGUCAGCGUGUCGAAACUCUCCAAGCUUAACUUGGAACGGUCAGCUGAUACUGAUGUGCUAGAGUGCAGAAGGGGCAACCGGAAUUCUUGGUGUAGCGGUGAAAUGCGUAGAUAUCAAGAGGAACACCUGAGGUGAAGACGGGUUGCUGGGCUGACACUGACGCUGAGGCGCGAAAGCUAGGGUAGCAAACGGG
rnacentral:rRNA from 1 species